rnacentral:lncRNA from 1 species
GAAUGUUGAGCAGCGCUUCAACCCUAUUAUACCUCCUGGUGUAUACAUAUUCGAAUUUUAUGCUCAAAAACCCAUCGUCACCAUCUCCAUAACCGAGGCCUCUCGAUGUUGCUAAGAUGAGUUUUUAGCUUGAAGUUCCACUGUCGCCACCAAUCGUGUUUAGUUGGAAAGCCAACUAUCACGGCUGCCAUCGCCAGUGGUUUUUGAAAAUUGGUCCGACUCCAAAUUCCAAAUGUCCAGAUAACUCACUUUUGGUCACUGAUCGGUCCAGAUGAGACACGCAUGACGAUUGAAGUCCAUCAUUGUUGCUUAAUGUCAAGCCCUCGCCACCGGAUAUACUUUUGAUUUGGUCAGAGGUCAGAGGAAGCGGGGUGGUGCGUGAUGCACCUUCCACCACACGUGAAACAUACAAAAAGUCCACCGCCACACAAUAGUUCAACGAGUGAUGGUUUGAACGUGAUGGAUUUCUGUGAUAUUCUUCACGCGUGAAAAAUGGAUGGAUGUGAGGGGGUGUGGGGGUUUCUUGUUAGGUGUUGUGAGCGAUGACCAUUGCCACUAAAAAGGCUGUGAAUGAUAGAAAAAUGGUUGAUGACAUGGCGGAACUUGAUUGGGUGUUGUGAGUGAUGAGUGAUGACCACCCCCACCCCUCAAGACGAAGGUUAGCCGGCACCAGAACUCGUUGCUGCUAGUGCUAGACUUUGAGUCGCAAUCCGACGCCACUACAUCGACGGUGAAUCUUCUUGAAACAGCCACCGUUUGUGGCUAUUGAAACAAAAAAAACGAGCCAA